rnacentral:rRNA from 1 species
AGAGUUUGAUCAUGGCUCAGAACGAACGCUGGCGGCAGGCUUAACACAUGCAAGUCGAACGCACCGCAAGGUGAGUGGCAGACGGGUGAGUAACGCGUGGGAACGUGCCCUUCAGUUCGGAAUAACCCAGGGAAACUUGGGCUAAUACCGGAUACGUGCGAGAGCAGAAAGAUUUAUCGCUGAAGGAUCGGCCCGCGUCUGAUUAGCUAGUUGGUGGGGUAAUGGCCCACCAAGGCGACGAUCAGUAGCUGGUCUGAGAGGAUGAUCAGCCACAUUGGGACUGAGACACGGCCCAAACUCCUACGGGAGGCAGCAGUGGGGAAUAUUGGACAAUGGGCGCAAGCCUGAUCCAGCCAUGCCGCGUGAGUGAUGAAGGCCUUAGGGUUGUAAAGCUCUUUCAGCGGGGACGAUAAUGACGGUACCCGCAGAAGAAGCCCCGGCUAACUUCGUGCCAGCAGCCGCGGUAAUACGAAGGGGGCUAGCGUUGUUCGGAAUCACUGGGCGUAAAGGGCGCGUAGGCGGCUUGAUAAGUCGGGGGUGAAAGCCUGUGGCUCAACCACAGAAUUGCCUUCGAUACUGUCUGGCUUGAGACCGGAAGAGGUAAGUGGAACUGCGAGUGUAGAGGUGAAAUUCGUAGAUAUUCGCAAGAACACCAGUGGCGAAGGCGGCUUACUGGUCCGGUUCUGACGCUGAGGCGCGAAAGCGUGGGGAGCAAACAGGAUUAGAUACCCUAGUAGUCC